UACGUAGGCAGCGAGCGUUGUUCGGAGUUACUGGGCGUAAAGGGUGUGUAGGCGGUCCUCUAAGUUUGGUGUGAAAUCUCCCGGCUCAACCGGGGGGGUGCGCCGAAAACUGGGGGACUAGAGUGCGGGAUGGGAGAGUGGAAUUCCUGGUGUAGCGGUGAAAUGCGUAGAUAUCAGGAGGAACACCGGUGGUGUAGACGGCUCUCUGGACCGUAACUGACGCUGAGACACGAAAGCGUGGGUAGCAAACAGG
rnacentral:rRNA from 1 species